ACCGGCGGCUCGAGUGGUGGCCACUAUUACUGGGCUUAAAGCGUUCGUAGCUGGCUUGUUAAGUCUCUGGGGAAAUCUUCCGGCUAAACCGGAAGGCGUCUCAGGGAUACUGGCAGGCUAGGGACCGGAAGAGGUGAGAGGUACUCCAGGAGUGGGAAUGAACAGCAGGAAUCCGAGAGGGAGGAGCUAGGGCGGGGGCGUCUCACCAGGACAGCUCCUCCAGUGGGCACCGUAACCAGCGAGAGCAAGGCG
rnacentral:rRNA from 1 species